CGAACGCUGGCGGCGUGCUUAACACAUGCAAGUCGAGCGGAAAGGCCUCUUUGGGGGUACUCGAGCGGCGAACGGGUGAGUAACACGUGAGUAAUCUGCCCCUGGCUCUGGGAUAGCCACCGGAAACGGUGAUUAAUACUGGAUAUGACCAUCUGGCGCAUGUUGGGUGGUGGAAAGUUUUUUCGGCUGGGGAUGUGCUCGCGGCCUAUCAGCUUGUUGGUGGGGUAAUGGCCUACCAAGGCUUUGACGGGUAGCCGGCCUGAGAGGGUGACCGGUCACACUGGGACUGAGACACGGCCCAGACUCCUACGGGAGGCAGCAGUGGGGAAUAUUGGACAAUGGGCGGAAGCCUGAUCCAGCAACGCCGCGUGAGGGAUGACGGCCUUCGGGUUGUAAACCUCUUUCAGUACCGACGAAGCGGAAGUGACGGUAGGUACAGAAGAAGGACCGGCCAACUACGUGCCAGCAGCCGCGGUAAUACGUAGGGUCCGAGCGUUGUCCGGAAUUAUUGGGCGUAAAGGGCUCGUAGGCGGUUUGUUGCGUCGGGAGUGAAAUCCUCCAGCUUAACUGGGGGCUUGCUUUCGAUACGGGCAGACUUGAGGCAUGCAGGGGAGAAUGGAAUUCCUGGUGUAGCGGUGAAAUGCGCAGAUAUCAGGAGGAACACCGGUGGCGAAGGCGGUUCUCUGGGCAUGUCUGAC
rnacentral:rRNA from 1 species